CAUGGUUCUGGAGUUGGCAGGGCUCAGCUGGGUGGUUCUUGCUUAGUCUCUCACACAGCUGCAGUCAGAUGGCGGCUGGGCUUGAGUCAGCAAACGCUCCACUGGGCUUCCUGCGCAGGAAGCUCAUUCACACAGCUGGGAGCUCAGCUGAGGCUGUCGACCGGCGUGCCCACAGGUGGAUUCACUGCACAGGUUGGACUCUGCACUGCAUGGCAGCUGGGUUGCAAGAGGAGUGUCCCAGGGUUGGCCCGGUAGCACAGCGGUUAAGUGCACACAUUCCACUUUGGAAGCCUGGGGUUCGCCAGUUCGGAUCCGGGGUGCGGACACAGCAUUGCUUGGCAAGCCACGCUGUGGCAGGCGCCCCACAUAUACAGUGGAGGAAGAUGGGCAUGGAUGUUAGCUCAGGGCCAGUCUUCCUCAGCAAAAAGAGGAGGAUUGGCAGCAGAUGUUAGCUCAGGGCUAAUCUGCCUCAAAUAAAUAAAUAAAUAAAUAAAUAAAAAGAGGAGUGUCCCAAGGCCAGGUGUUUCAAGAGGGCUGUGCAGAGUCUACAAGGCUUCUGAUGACCUAGUCUCACAAGUCCCAGAAUGUCCCCUCUGCUACAUUCUUUUUGGCCAAGAAAGUGACUAAGGCCGGCCUAGGUUCACGGGGAGGGGAAGGAGACGCCAUCUCUUGAUGUGAGGAGCAGUGGGAGGACACAGGGAGGGCAAGGACUGAUGGGGCCAUCUUUGGAGACUGGCUACCAUGAUAACUCUCUGCUAACUCAGUCAGAGCUCUCGGGGAGGACUGGGGUGGUUAUAGCAGGAAUGCAACGAGACAGGCAGUCAGUGGUUUCAAAUUCUCUCUUGAAAUCCACAGCAAAGACAGGGCAUUUGGUCAUAAUUGCCGGUUAAGAGAAAACAACCUGAGGGACUCAAAACUUGAAAUUGAUGCCAUGAACAGUAGAUAGGGAAGAAUGCAGAAGCUGUCUUUCUGCCCGAAAGGAAAUAAAUUUGACCAGCUAGUGGAGGAGGGGAAUCAUAUGGAGAUAACUAACGGUAGAUACUACAUCUCCCAAAAGAAAUUUGGGGUGUCCCAGAGUAGAAGGGGCUGUUGCCUGGCUUCUCAUGGUGUUGCCCAGGAGAUGGAAGCCUCCCAGCUCAGGCUGGAGAGGUUGAGAGCCCUAUGGGAGGAGGCGUCUGACAGAUGAGCCUGGGGGUGGCCUCAAGUCUCGUGUGUCCUGUAGCAAGGUACUGUUGGCGAGGACACAGGGGAGGGUUUGAGUUUAGCUGGUGGACUUGGGAAUGCUUUGUGGUCAGGACAAGGAUUCUUUGGAGAUGUCUUGGCUUAGCGGAUGGGAGUGGAGAAGUCCCGGAUCAGAUAUACACCCUGGUGCCAGGUCAAGAUAGGAGAUCCCAGAACCCUGACCACCCUCAGGGAGAAGGGAAGGAGCAGUAGGAAGCAGGGAAGCUGGAAGUAGACCAAGAGUCUACUUAAGAAAGGUCCAGCUGUGACUGCAUUUACCUUGAACAAGAUGAAGCUUGCGUUACUG
rnacentral:lncRNA from 1 species